UCAAUGCCUCCCCCGAUCCCAUCUCUUCCACCUCCAGAGCACCGCCACCUCCUGCCACGCCCCACCCCGCCUCACCGCGCACCGCCGGCCGCCGCCGCGCGCCCCUCCGGCACGCCUACCCCUACCCCAAGUGCCCCCACACCCGCGGCCUUCCACCGCCGGCGACAGUCUACCCUGACUGUGUCGCUCCCAAGCCACCCGACCCCAAAUCGCUCGGGUGUCAGCGGCGCUGGCAGCACAAGCAGCUGCCAUGAAGCUGCGCGCCACCCCCUUGCCCCCUUCACCUCCUUCCUCCCACUUGCACACAUGAGAAGGAAUUGAAUCAGAGUCGGUCCCUCAAUCUAAACCAGGAGGAGCGCCCAUUGAACAGGAUGGUGUGCAGGUCGCGGAGAGUUGCAUCGGCAAGUGUCAGCUCAUAUCUUGAAGUGCCAUGGAGCAAAGCUUGUGAGGAUGCAGGGGCCGUUGGUGGUGUUGGACUUAUCGCAGGUUGAACCACAUCUUGCUUUCCUUUUCUUUUGCCAAUCUGCUCUCUUGUCUCUCGGAGUCACAAAUUGGUCAUCCAUGCAUCUCUUCUUCUUAAUAGAUAUAUAACAUUGAUUUGAUUGGUAAUACUGAUGGCAGAUUGCUGCAAUUUAUUGAAUUUGAUCUAAUUUAUUUUGGGAUUGUUAAAUUUGUGAUUUUUUACAUACAAUCUAUGGAUACCUCAUGGAGAUCGGUCGAAGCAAACUAUUCUCAUCAGCUUCAGUAAUGUGUCUGAUGCCAUUUGGCCCAUAUGGCAGGGUUAACAUCAUCAAUGGCCUGCCCCAGUCGUCAGGAACUACCAAUGUAUCUUCCUAUUUGAUCCAAAAUGCAUAUACACAUGAUUAUGAUGGAGAUACUAUCCGAACUUGCCAUCAACAGGAUUGAGCAAUGUGGCAUAUAAGCUUUAGCUUGCUGGUUCAGAUUAUCAGUGUUAAUCUUCUGGUUGUGGCAAUUUUUCAGACUUUUUGAGAACAGAGGGUGUCAUGUGUCAGAUGAGAGAGGCAACUGAUGUGGUUCUUUAUCAUGUUGCUGCCAUCGCAACCACAUGUUAAUUAAAGUGCAGGUACUCCAGUCAGUCGGGAGCUCUAUAAAUGAGGAAAGCGGAAAGAGCCAUGGCGUGAUGGCUACAUAUUCAUCUACCUUGACAACCUUUAAGUACCAACAGUUGAAUAAUCGUAGGUUUUAUUUGGAGAACAAAAAUAUAAGAUUUAAUGCUACCCAAUAUUUGUAAUUGAAAAAGAUAGAUUGUACGUGCUUUACAUUAUAUAGGUGGUUGCCUCAAUAUGUUUCAAGCUAGAGAAUAAUAUUUGUGUAUAGUCUGAUUUUGGUCUGUCCAUAUUUCAUACCUGUAACACAUGAUGGAGGAGCACGGAGCAGUCCUAAAUAUUGGUGGAUUACAUAGAUUCUGCAACUCCCUUAAAUCCAGUGUGCACUAAACUACUCCAAUUUCCAUUUUAUGGGAGAAUUUUGAGCUAGACUCCUGCUAUCUGUAGAUUUUGUCUUCCAAGUUAUGGAUAUCACAGUGCAUGUAUUCACCAUUGUGGUGUAGCCUAAUGAUACUUUCUAACUAUAUAUACAUCAUUGGUAGUUCAUAUC